rnacentral:rRNA from 1 species
CAGCCGCCGCGGUAAUACGAGGGGGGCAAGCGUUGUUCGGAAUUAUUGGGCGUAAAGGGUGCGUAGGCGGUUUGGCAAGUUUGGUGUGAAAUCUUCGGGCUCAACUCGAAGUCUGCAUCGAAAACUGCCGGGCUUGAGUAUGGGAGAGGUGAGUGGAAUUUCCGGUGUAGCGGUGAAAUGCGUAGAUAUCGGAAGGAACACCUGUGGCGAAAGCGGCUCACUGGACCAUAACUGACGCUGAUGCACGAAAGCUAGGGGAGCAAACAGGAUUAGAUACCCGCGUAGUCCCUGUCUCUUAUAC